rnacentral:rRNA from 1 species
UAAGGAAUAUUGCGCAAUGGACGAAAGUCUGACGCAGCGACGCCGCGUGGGGGAUGAAGGUCUUCGGGUUGUAAAGCUCUUUUGUCAGGGAAGAAACGGUAGUAGCGAAUAACUACUACUAAUGACGGUACCUGAAGAAUAAGCACCGGCUAACUACGUGCCAGCAGCCGCGGUAAUACGUAGGGUGCAAGCGUUAAUCGGAAUUACUGGGCGUAAAGCGUGCGCAGGCGGUUGUGUAAGUCAGAUGUGAAAUCCCCGGGCUCAACCUGGGAAUUGCAUUUGAGACUGCACGGCUAGAGUGUGUCAGAGGGGGGUAGAAUUCCACGUGUAGCAGUGAAAUGCGUAGAUAUGUGGAGGAAUACCGAUGGCGAAGGCAGCCCCCUGGGAUAACACUGACGCUCAUGCACGAAAGCGUGGGGAGCAAACAGGAUUAGAUACCCUGUAGUCCCUGAGCGGGCUGGCAAGGCGCAU